rnacentral:tRNA from 1 species
GCUGUAUGUAGCUCAGUGGUAAAGCACUUGCCUCACAUGUGUGAAGCACUGGGUUUGAUCCUCAGCACAACA